rnacentral:misc_RNA from 1 species
AACUGUGAAAUGAAAGACUGCAGAUUUUUGGUCCCUAAGCCUUGAUACAGUGAAAGAAUUUGCCCAUUGGAUAGCGCUUCCCAUAAAACAUCAGAAAGGUGCCUGUAUUUUCGCUGGCCGUGAGCACGAACCUCGGCUUGAUACUUUGUCUUUCAGUCUUACAUGUAUCAAGAGGGUACAAGAUCGUCGUACUGAGCAAGGAGCCAAUGGCACCAGA